GACGAACGCUGGCGGCGUGCUUAACACAUGCAAGUCGAACGGAAAGGCCCUGCUUUUGUGGGGUGCUCGAGUGGCGAACGGGUGAGUAACACGUGAGUAACCUGCCCUUGACUUUGGGAUAACUUCAGGAAACUGGGGCUAAUACCGGAUAGGAGCUCCUGCUGCAUGGUGGGGGUUGGAAAGUUUCGGCGGUUGGGGAUGGACUCGCGGCUUAUCAGCUUGUUGGUGGGGUAGUGGCUUACCAAGGCUUUGACGGGUAGGCGGCCUGAGAGGGUGACCGGCCACAUUGGGACUGAGAUACGGCCCAGACUCCUACGGGAGGCAGCAGUGGGGAAUAUUGCACAAUGGGCGGAAGCCUGAUGCAGCAACGCCGCGUGCGGGAUGACGGCCUUCGGGUUGUAAACCGCUUUCGCCUGUGACGAAGCGUGAGUGACGGUAAUGGGUAAAGAAGCACCGGCUAGCUACGUG
rnacentral:rRNA from 1 species